GUGCCCUCUUCUGGCCUGCAAGUGUAUAUGCAGACAGAACACUCAGGAGAAUGAAGGUUAAGGAAUUGAAGAACACUGGACAAAUGAGACAACUGAAGAAAAGGGACAAAUCAUCUAUCCCAAGAAACAGAAUGAAACGAUGUAUGAGUAUAUAUUAUCUAAAAAAUUUUAUGUCUUCUUAAAUGUUUGUUUCUGCUUUUCUCUAAAGAUUUAACACUAUUGGUCUUCUAAUAGUCCCAGUUCAAUUAAAAUUUAAAGCUGACUUUG